rnacentral:misc_RNA from 1 species
GUUAUAGUCCCCCGGCCCUUCCGGGUUGGGGUCUUCUAUACCACCCUUUGUUUAUUACACCUUUGUUGCUUUGGCAGGCCUGCCUUUGGGCUGCUGGCUCCGGCCGGCGAGCGUCUGCCAGAGGACCACAACUCUGUAUUAAAUGUCGUCUGAGUACUAUAAAAUAGUUAAAACUUUCAACAACGGAUCUCUUGGUUCU